UAUAUAUUUUGUCAUUAUAACAAUUCAGUCAGAGUACAGAUGAGUUCAGGAUGAAUGUUUACAAACAGAACCUGUGGCUGACCUUCCUCCCAGGGAUCUGUCUCCUCAGAACUUUAGGUGUGUGUUUAUGAUACGUAACAUAGCACUUGGUAGAGUCAGUAUGUUAUUAUGUUACUGGGUGAUCGGAGCACAGCGGUGGCACAGAUGACAUCCUGCUGUGGGAGGAGAGAGGAAUCAUCCUGAGGAGGUGCAGCGUUUAAUUCCGUGGCUGAACAGAGAGCUUCAGGUAAUCUUACGAGGCCCUGGGUUAUCUGCAGCUGCCCCAUAACCACAUGCUGUCGCAAGAGUUCCGACGCCCACUGUCUACCAUCCUCAGGCAACGCCGUGACCACUUUUGCUGGCUCGUCUUAUGACAUGGUUGGCUUCGAUGAAAAUGCUCGUUACGCAGUGCAUAAGAACUUUGGGGAGCAUGAAGUUCUGUCUGACAGCUCUGACAAUGUGGCAAUUCUACCAUCAGAUGAGAUCUCGCAGGAGGACAUGAAGACUCAAGCUCUCCUGUAGCUGGUCCUUCCGAGAUUCGUCACAACAGUCGACCAUUAUAUUGUGUGGAUGCCAAUUGGAUGCGCUGUGUCGAUUGUGCUCGGCAUGAAGAACAUCUAAAUUUAAUGGCAUUUCAAUAUAAAGGUGAACCUUCCAACACAUUCCUGCGCACGUCGAGCUGCUUUUGUGGUAUGGUCGAGAACUCUUUAUUGACGUUAAGAAUUUUCACAAACCUCAACAGAAACAGUGCCAUAGCGAGUAAUAUUACAACUGAAUUAUUCUUCUAAAAAAUAUGUUGCAUUUAUUUCUGUUAUUCCAUCCAUUUUUUGACUUCAGUCAUCCCCUUGUGUCUGAAAGAUUUAAUGUAGGUUUAACAUUCUGAAUCUUUACAAUCACGUGGAAGCCUGUGAAAAUGCGUAGACAUUCUUUUUUAAAUUAGGAAAUGAGUUAGCUUCUAAUUACAUUUGAUUUAAAAUAAUUCAGUAAGUAAAUUAUAUGUGUCCCUCACUAUCUGUUGAUUUCCUACAUUGUUUUUUUUUUAGCAUAAUUAAUUAUAAUAUCUAAAGGGAACAAUUUAAAUUGCACCCGAGAAUAAAUAAUUAAUUUAAAGUCUUGGCUGAGCUCUGUGCAAACGAUGGUACGCAUUGUGACCACCACCUAACUCUGGAAGGCUGACAGAAGGUGGUACUCAUUGAUAGGUUGUCAUUUAACUAUAAUUUGGCAGCCACAGGAGAUGUUCCUUUGACAAGAGUUGAUACUGUCCUUUGAAGGUGUGUUCCGUAUCUGAUCAAAAGCGAAAGGUUAUCCUGGCUUGGCCACGUUGCAAGAGUGGAAGGAAAGAGGGUAACUAGAAGAGUGAUGGAAUGGAGACCACGGAAACGAUGGAGAGAUGAUGUGGAGUGAGGGGAUGGAGAAGAAUUGUGAGUGAUAGGACAAAAUGGAAAAAACUCGUCGAACAAGCUAAGACCCACAUUGGGUUAUAACGCUACAAGAAGAUGAUUCUCAAUUUUUAGACAAAACAGAACACACAUUCAGGCUGCUUAUUCAAAAAUAGGAAAUCAAAUAUACAACUGACACAAACCCCAAAGUUCUUAUGCACUGCGUAACGAGCAUUUUCAUCGAAGCCAACCACGUCAUAAGAGGAGCCAGCAAAAGAAGUGAACUCGUGAACUCAUGUCAUUGCCUGUCUCUUUAGAUCACUCUUCAUGUGUGAGGUCAAACUCAAAGAGAACGACGUCAUACCUCGUGACUAUUGAUCAUUCACCCCACUUUAUUUAAUAUCAUAUAUAAGAUAGUGUAGUUGCGUCAUAUUGUGAUUUAUUAAAUUAAAAUU